CGGCUCUGCAAGUCAGGCGUGAAAUAUAUGGGCUUAACCCAUAGACUGCGUUUGAAACUGUGGAGCUUGAGUGAAGUAGAGGUAGGCGGAAUUCCCGGUGUAGCGGUGAAAUGCGUAGAGAUCGGGAGGAACACCAGUGGCGAAGGCGGCCUACUGGGCUUUAACUGACGCUGAGGCACGAAAGCAUGGGUAGCAAACAGGAUUAGAUACCCUGGUAGUCCAUGCUGUAAACGAUGAUUACUAGGUGUGGGGGGUCUGACCCCUUCCGUGCCGGAGUUAACACAAUAAGUAAUCCACCUGGGGAGUACGACCGCAAGGUUGAAACUCAAAGGAAUUGACGGGGGCCCGCACAAGCAGUGGAGUAUGUGGUUUAAUUCGAAGCAACGCGAAGAACCUUACCAGGUCUUGACAUCCAACUAACGAGGCAGAGAUGCAUUAGGUGCCCUUCGGGGAAAGUUGAGACAGGUGGUGCAUGGUUGUCGUCAGCUCGUGUCGUGAGAUGUUGGGUUAAGUCCCGCAACGAGCGCAACCCUUAUGAUUAGUUGCUACGCAAGAGCCACUCUA
rnacentral:rRNA from 1 species